rnacentral:rRNA from 1 species
AUUGAACGCUGGCGGCAUGCUUUACACAUGCAAGUCGAACGGUAACAGGGAGCUUGCUCCGCUGACGAGUGGCGAACGGGUGAGUAAUAUAUCGGAACGUACCCAAGAGUGGGGGAUAACGUAGCGAAAGUUACGCUAAUACCGCAUACGAUCAAAGGAUGAAAGCAGGGGACCUUCGGGCCUUGUGCUCCUGGAGCGGCCGAUAUCUGAUUAGCUAGUUGGUGAGGUAAAGGCUCACCAAGGCGACGAUCAGUAGCUGGUCUGAGAGGACGACCAGCCACACUGGAACUGAGACACGGUCCAGACUCCUACGGGAGGCAGCAGUGGGGAAUUUUGGACAAUGGGCGCAAGCCUGAUCCAGCAAUGCCGCGUGAGUGAAGAAGGCCUUCGGGUUGUAAAGCUCUUUUGUCAGGGAAGAAACGGGAUUGGCUAAUAUCCAGUCCUAAUGACGGUACCUGAAGAAUAAGCACCGGCUAACUACGUG